UAUGCAGUCGAGCGAGGGCUCAUUUCCCGCAAGGGAGAUGAGUUCCUAGCGGCGAACGGGUGAGUAACACGUGGGCAACCUUUCCUAUCGCGGGGGAUAACAGCGGGAAACCGCUGCUAAUACCGCAUGUCGUCACCGGUCGCAUGGCCGGUGAAGAAAGCAGCAAUGCACGAUGGGGUGGGCCCGCGGCCUAUCAGCUAGUCGGUGGGGUAACGGCCUACCGAGGCGAUGACGGGUAGCUGGUCUGAGAGGACGACCAGCCACACGGGGACUGAGACACGGCCCCGACUCCUACGGGAGGCAGCAGUGAGGAAUCUUCCGCAAUGGGCGAAAGCCUGACGGAGCGACGCCGCGUGUGGGAUGAAGUCCUUCGGGAUGUAAACCACUGUUGGAGGGGAAGGCAUCGACGGUACCCUCCGAGAAAGCCCCGGCUAACUACGUGCCAGCAGCCGCGGUAAUACGUAGGGGGCGAGCGUUAUCCAGAUUUACUGGGCGUAAAGCGCGUGUAGGCGGCUGGUUAAGUGUGAUGUGAAAUCCUCGGGCUCAACCCGAGAACUGCAUUGCAAACUAGCCUGGCUAGAGUGCAGGAGAGGGAAGCGGAUUCCAGGUGUAGCGGUGAAAUGCGUAGAUAUCUGGAGGAACACCAGUGGCGAAGGCGGCUUCCUGGCCUGUAACUGACGCUGAGACGCGAAAGCGUGGGGAGCGAACCGGAUUAGAUACCCGGGUAGUCCACGCCCUAAACGUUGCGAACUAGGUGUUGGUCGGAUUGACCCGAUCAGUGCCGCAGCUAACGCAUUAUUCGCCGCCUGGGGACUACGGCCGCAAGGUUAAAACUCAAAGGAAUA
rnacentral:rRNA from 1 species